rnacentral:rRNA from 1 species
AGUGAACGCUGGCGGUAGGCCUAACACAUGCAAGUCGAACGGCAGCACAGUAAGAGCUCGCUCUUACGGGUGGCGAGUGGCGGACGGGUGAGGAAUACAUCGGAAUCUACUUUUUCGUGGGGGAUAACGUAGGGAAACUUACGCUAAUACCGCAUACGACCUACGGGUGAAAGCAGGGGAUCUUCGGACCUUGCGCGAUUGAAUGAGCCGAUGUCGGAUUAGCUAGUUGGCGGGGUAAAGGCCCACCAAGGCGACGAUCCGUAGCUGGUCUGAGAGGAUGAUCAGCCGCACUGGAACUGAGACACGGUCCAGACUCCUACGGGAGGCAGCAGUGGGGAAUAUUGGACAAUGGGCGCAAGCCUGAUCCAGCCAUACCGCGUGGGUGAAGAAGGCCUUCGGGUUGUAAAGCCCUUUUGUUGGGAAAGAAAAGCAGCAGGUUAAUACCCCGCUGUUCUGACGGUACCCAAAGAAUAAGCACCGGCUAACUUCGUG